rnacentral:snoRNA from 1 species
CUUCUUUUCCAGUUCAUAAGCAGGAGGAUUGGGCCUUCGUGUUUUUGUGUGAUGUGUGCUUCCCAUUAACCCAGUGACAACAUCGGCACAUUACCCGUCUGCCA